CCGCUUAUAGUAUAAGGGAUAGUACGAACCCCUCCUAAGGGUUAGAUUCAGGUUCGAGUCCUGAUAAGCGGGCCA
rnacentral:tRNA from 1 species